UAGACCACAGGAUUCCCUAAUUGGUGCGUGUUCGAGUAAGAACACACAUUAUAUUCAGAAGAGGCUGGCAGUGGCCAAGUGAGAUCCCAGCUGGACAUUCAGCUUGGCGGCGACUCCCUUCCAUGGCCCCUCUGAUCAAGCCGGAGAGCAGCCCGCGUUACCCACGACCCGUGUUUCAUCAUCCUGCUGGAGUGUGAGGUUAGCCCUGAGAUCAACUUACAACGCACCAACGCUGUUGGGUACCAGAAGACGAACAUUUCCAGGACUCUGCCUAGGAAUCUUGCCAUGCCUUUUAAACACAACUCGAAGGCCCUCUGAAGACUUAAUAGGUAUCUGUCAAGGCUACAUUCUGCUCUACGUGUAAAUCACCAAGACCUGUUUUUAAAAUUCCAAGCUGGAGGCAAAUGGCCAGGCAGAAAUCGAGGGAACUGUCAUUCGGCAGGACAGAUGUCUUGGCUUGGGUUAUAAAACUCCUCUGCCUAUGAAGAGUUGAAGAAACUUGAAGUGAUGUUUGCAUAUAUGAUUCAGUCCCAUGGAGAUACACAGGGAAAUCUCUGCUGCUUACUGCAUUUUGUCUGAAUGUGCGGCAGCCCCAGCUAGCUCACUGUGACCUCAAGAACUCCC